rnacentral:rRNA from 1 species
UACGAAGGGGGCUAGCGUUGUUCGGAAUUACUGGGCGUAAAGCGCGCGCAGGCGGUCCUUUAAGUCGGGGGUGAAAGCCCAGAGCUCAACUCUGGAACUGCCUUCGAAACUAGAGGACUUGGGUACGGGAGAGGUGAGUGGAAUUCCGAGUGUAGAGGUGAAAUUCGUAGAUAUUCGGAAGAACACCAGUGGCGAAGGCGGCUCUCUGGUACGUGACUGACGCUGAGACGCGAAAGCGUGGGGAGCAAACAGG